UCGAGAAUUUUUCUCAAUAGGGGAAACCCUGAAGGAGCGACGCCGCGUGGAGGAUGAAGGCUUUCGGGUCGUAAACUCCUGUCAUUAGAGAACAAUUGUCAGCGAUUAACUGUCGCUGGCUUGAUAGUAUCUGAAGAGGAAGGGACGGCUAACUCUGUGCCAGCAGCCGCGGUAAUACAGAGGUCCCAAGCGUUGUUCGGAUUCAUUGGGCGUAAAGGGUGCGUAGGUGGUAGACUAAGUCGGAUGUGAAAUCCCAGGGCUCAACCCUGGAACUGCAUACGAUACUGGCCUGCUCGAGGACUGGAGAGGAGAUUGGAAUUUAUGGUGUAGCAGUGAAAUGCGUAGAUAUCAUAAGGAAGACCAGUGGCGAAGGCGGAUCUCUGGACAGUUCCUGACACUGAGGCACGAAGGCUAGGGGAGCGAACG
rnacentral:rRNA from 1 species